UACAGAGGUCUCAAGCGUUGUUCGGAUUCAUUGGGCGUAAAGAGCUCGUAGGCGGUCUGUCGCGUCGGCUGUGAAAACCCGAGGCUCAACCUCGGGCCUGCAGUCGAUACGGGCAAACUAGAGUACUGCAGGGGAGACUGGAAUUCCUGGUGUAGCGGUGAAAUGCGCAGAUAUCAGGAGGAACACCGAUGGCGAAGGCAGCCCCCUGGGUCAACACUGACGCUCAUGCACGAAAGCGUGGGGAGCAAACAGG
rnacentral:rRNA from 1 species